UACGUAGGGUGCGAGCGUUGUUCGGAAUUACUGGGCGUAAAGGGCGCGUAGGCGGCCUUCUAAGUCGAACGUGAAAUCCCCGGGCUCAACCCGGGAACUGCGUCCGAUACUGGAAGGCUUGAAUCCGGGAGAGGGAUGCGGAAUUCCAGGUGUAGCGGUGAAAUGCGUAGAUAUCUGGAGGAACACCGGUGGCGAAGGCGGCAUCCUGGACCGACAUUGACGCUGAACGGCGAAAGCUAGGGGAGCAAACGGG
rnacentral:rRNA from 1 species